GCAGUACCCAGCCCGUGGGAGCACAUCUGGGCUGCAUGGCUGUCUUCCCACGGACCCCAAGCCAAGCUUGGCUGACCACAGGUGCCUCAUAAAUGGCACUCAGAGAAAUGGGUGGAUCGGCCUCCUGGCCUGGCCAGGGAAACCUACUCAGUCCUCCUUCAUGAGAAAUAAUCAGCCUGGAACAAUGAUCAAAUUGGACAGCUCUGGAUCUAAUUUUGGACACUGGUAACCCAGCAGAAAGAAACAAAAUGCUAAAGCUUCCAUUACCUAAAAUUCUCUGAUAUUAUAAGGGAAGAACUAGAAAACAGUACUUGGUUAUUUUAAAGUUUUUAUUUAUUAACUCAUAAUUAUGUCUCAAGUUCAUCUUUAGUCUCAGUUGCCUGUCUCCCAGAACUGUGUUCACUUCCAGGGCAGGCAGGGCCCUUCUGCGUUCCCAGGGGAAGAUCUGUGUGCGACUGCCCUGCUGGUGGCAGGUCUCACAGCAGAGAGGAACCUGACCUCUUCGGUGUGAGUUUUAGGAUGACGUCAGGUGUGGGGUGUGGAUAUGAAGCCACCCAUCUGUCAAGCGAGCUGCUACAUCCAGGGUGAGACUGAUUUGGUACCUAACCCCUUCUUCUGGAACCUGUUCCCCAUCCUGUCCUCACUCAGGCCCAGUCCAGCUCCAGAUGGAGGCGCUGCAGAAUAUUUGAGCUGCGGCAGUGUCACUUUGCCAUGUGUAGGGACAGAAGGAUGCUGCGCAUAUCAGAGCAGCCCUCAGGGUCAUAGAAAGAUGACUUCAACUUGGUGCCAUCCAGGUGGGUCCUUGGGGCCUCUGUGGCUGGGCUCAGUAGGAGUAUGAGAUCUGGGAGAAUCAGCCUGCUAGAAGAAAGCCACCGUUCAUUGUGGAAACCUCUUUAGGACAGUGAUAGAUAACUGAUCGUGUCCACUUGAGUGAGAAAGAACCAAACCGGCUCAGCAUAGCUCUAAGUGUGGAGGACCCAGCCUACGGAGGAUCGAAGCCGGAAUGGUACAAAAGGGAAACAAAGAGGAAGGGUCGCUCUGUUUCUUCACAGGAGCUCCAGUCUUUGGUUUCACCUUGCACAUCGCCUCCUGGCCUCCAAUGCAGACCCUUCAGCCUCCCAAUACAGACUCACGCAGGACACUACACUGAGCUCCAGGCCUGUGACUGGAUCCUUCGGGUUUCCAGCGCGCAGACAGACCUUUUGCACUCUUCCGCACCAGACUGUAAACCAAUCUUGUAAAUUCUUAUAUAUUUGUAUAUCUUGCAUUAAAUCUGUU
rnacentral:lncRNA from 1 species